CCUACGGGAGGCAGCAGUGGGGAAUAUUGGGCAAUGGACGCAAGUCUGACCCAGCAACGCCGCGUGAAGGAUGAAGGCUUUCGGGUUGUAAACUUCUUUUAAUGGGGAAGAUCAUAAGACGGUAUCCCUUGAAUAAGCCACGUCUAACUACGUGCAAGCAGCCGCGGUAAUACGGAGGUUGCAAGCGUUUUACGGAUUUACUGGGUGUAAAGGGCGUGCAGGCGGAGAGACAAGUCAGAUGUGAAAUCCUAAGGCUCAACCUGAGAACUGCAUUUGAAACUGGUUGUCUUGAGUAUAGGAGAGGUAAGCGGAAUUCUUAGUGUAGCGGUGAAAUGCGUAGAUAUUAGGAAGAACAC
rnacentral:rRNA from 1 species